AAGAUAGUAGUAUAAAGUGAUGUCCUCUAUGAUGUCCUAUUCCCAGGACAGGUAGAACAUAGACAAUAGCAUAGGGGCCUCCUCAUAAUGCCCUGCCAAUGUGCCUCCAACUUGUCCUAGAUAGACUACUUCUGGUGGUGAGAAGGUAUUUUGGUUUUCAUGUCCAUCCAAUCCUUAGCCUCU
rnacentral:sRNA from 1 species